AUUGAACGCUGGCGGCAGGCCUAACACAUGCAAGUCGAGCGGAUGACGGGAGCUUGCUCCUUGAUUCAGCGGCGGACGGGUGAGUAAUGCCUAGGAAUCUGCCUGGUAGUGGGGGACAACGUUUCGAAAGGAACGCUAAUACCGCAUACGUCCUACGGGAGAAAGCAGGGGACCUUCGGGCCUUGCGCUAUCAGAUGAGCCUAGGUCGGAUUAGCUAGUUGGUGGGGUAAUGGCUCACCAAGGCGACGAUCCGUAACUGGUCUGAGAGGAUGAUCAGUCAGACUGGAACUGAGACACGGUCCAGACUCCUACGGGAGGCAGCAGUGGGGAAUAUUGGACAAUGGGCGAAAGCCUGAUCCAGCCAUGCCGCGUGUGUGAAGAAGGUCUUCGGAUUGUAAAGCACUUUAAGUUGGGAGGAAGGGCAGUAAGUUAAUACCUUGCUGUUUUGACGUUACCGACAGAAUAAGCACCGGCUAACUCUGUGCCAGCAGCCGCCGUAAAAC
rnacentral:rRNA from 1 species